CCUACGGGUGGCUGCAGUGGGGAAUAUUGCGCAAUGGGCGAAAGCCUGACGCAGCGACGCCGCGUGAGGGAUGAAGGUCUUCGGAUCGGUAACCUCUGUCUGCAGGGGAGUACGGUCACUGUGCUAAUCAGCAGUGAAUUUACGGUAUCUGCAAAGGAAGCAUCGGCUAAUUCCGUCCCAGCCGCCGCGGUAAUACGGAGGGUGAGAGCUUUAAUCGGAAUUAUUGGGCGGAAACCGCUCGUUGGCGGUAUGUCAAGUCAGGGGUGAAAGAGCCGCGCUCAACGUGUGAACUGCCGUUGAAACUGGCAAACUGGAGUGUGUUGGAGGAUGGUGGAAUUCGAGGUGUAGGAGUGAAAUGCGUAGAUAUCUGGAGGAACAUCGAUGGCGAAGGCGACUAUCUGGCACAUAACUGACGCUGAGGAGCGAAAGCGUGGGUAGCAAACAGGAUUAGAUACCCGAGUAGUC
rnacentral:rRNA from 1 species